CCACAGCCGCGGCCGCCGAGACCGCCACCCGUGCCUCAGGCAGUCAGUCCGGAGUUAUCCAGGCGGCCGCGGGUGGGCAAGGAGGACAGGAGUGUGAGACCAUGCUGCAAUCAAUAACUGUAAAAAUAUCAUGAUGCCCAUGUGUGAGUCUAUCUGUGGGAUAGAUACAUUCUCAAAGCUGGAAUUUCUCGAUUACAGGAUGUCGCUGGAAGAACAAAAGCCUCUGCCUGGUUCCAGGGGGAAUUCCUCUGGGGUUAGAGAUAGAGCCACACGGUAUCAUACAGGACGCCUGAGGUUUUUUGUGGUUGACAACUCAUCCCCUUUCAGUAAAAAAAAAAAAAAAAAAAAAAAAAAAUCAAGGGAAUACAGAAUUUCAGGCACGGUUGUUUCUAAAUCAUCCUAAUUACUAUGCUGUCAUUGAAACGAGUGACUUCAAUAUCUGCAUUAUGCCACCUGUUGAAAUCCUAUCUUAUCAGAUUGUGGCAGAAUUGUUAUCAGAUUGUUGGAGAAUUGGUAUUUCACUGCGGCGGGAAUAAGGAAAUUUCUGAUCUUGCCCAAUGAAGGCUCACUAGGAGUAGGUUGUCAGAUUUUGCAAAUACAAACAGAGGACAUCCAGUGAAAUUCGAGUUUCAGAGAAACAGCCCAUAAUUUUCUUUUUUUGUACAAGCGUGUCCCAAAUCUUGCACAGGAUGUACUUAUACUAAAGAUCAAUUUACUCUUUCUCCGAAAUUAAAAGUAAGUAGGUGUCCUGUAUUUUAUCUGGCAACCCUAACUGUAAAAAGAGAGUUCAAAGAAUCGAUAAGACCUUAGAUUCUCAGUCUCAUUGCGUGGAGAUAACCACUAUGAAGGGUUUUGGUUGGGUCUUUCCAUAAACUGUUCAUGAAUAUACACAAACAUUUGUGUGUGUGUCCAAAUCUGAUUCCUUCAAUUGUUAGCUGGGUGACUUUAGAAGCGUUAGUUUCUCUGGAUCUGAGUUUCCUUAUAUGUAAAAUGAGGCUAGUGAUAGUACCUACUACAUAGGGUGUUAAUGAAGAUUAAAUGAGUCUGGCACAUAUAAGGCACUGAAUGGUUAUCUAUUUUCAAUAAUGGUGAUUAUUGCUAUGAAUAUUAUAUGUCAUGUGUUAGAAAUUCAAUUGAUGACAUACAGUAGUCCCCCCUUAUCCAUGGGGGAUAUGUCCCAUGACUCCCAAUGGAUGUCUAAAACCACAAUAACAACAAACCCUAUAUAUACUGUUUUUUCCUGUACAUGCAUACCUAUGAUAAAGUUUAAUU